AAAGUUUGACAAAAAAUUUCAUCAUUUUUAAAAGUCAGAAACUAUUUUUAAUCAAUUAAAAUGCAUAAAAAUAACCUAAUUGAACUAAAAUCUCAAAUAAAUCUCAAAUAAAUUAAUAAAUUGAUGAGAAUAUUUUUCAUAGAUCUAUCAACAUUCAAAGAGGUUGAGAAAAUAUUUUUGUAUUUUUUGAAUAUCAAAAACUAUUUAAAAUGAAUUAAAA
rnacentral:lncRNA from 1 species